AUAAAGCGAUUGCCCAGUGAUAGCCACACGACGGUGGUUGGCGCUGUCAAGGUCUUGUAUGUCAGAAUUACUUGUCUGGAUAUAGGCACGACACUUCAGUUGUUGAGAUGUUUUCCAUGCUUGGAGAAGUUGUACAUUCAGCAGUCGAUAUCAGGGGAUCUGAAUUUGUGGAAGCGUAAACACCGGGACCUAAUCAAGUGUCUUGACCUUCGUCUGAAGAAGGUCGUUAUGCAAUAUUAUCGGGGCAUCAGGGCGCAAGUUAACUUUGCCACAUUCUUCAUACUGAACGCGAAAAUGCUGGAGUUGAUGUCAUUCAAAGUUGAUGCCGAAUAUUACUGCCGGGCCUUUUUAAAACAGCGCAAGAAGCUUCAGUUGGAGAAACGGGCUUCAAGAGGUGCUCGGUUUCACUUUCAAACUGAUAGACUUCUCGGCUGUUAUUCGAUGAUCAAUAAUGUCCGUGAUUUGGAUUUAAGUGAUCCGUUCGUAUGCAAGUGUUAG
rnacentral:rRNA from 1 species